rnacentral:misc_RNA from 1 species
UUAAGUUCAGGGGGUAUCCCUACCUGAUCUGAGGUCAAGCUGUUAAAAUAAAUCGUUUAGUUGGCAGGCAGCUACACAGUCGCUUCGACGAGGAAUUACUUACUACGUCUUACAAGCUGAAGCAGCGCCGCCAAUAGCUUACAGGGGAGAGGCAAUGCCACUUCCCCCAAUACCAAACCAAGGUUUGAUUGAUUUAUUGA